UAACCAUGAUGGGGACACAAGUUAAGUAACUCUUUAAAAGUUCUCAUGCUUGAUAUAAAGUCUCACUAUCUUUUUAUGUGAAGUUUGAGUUUUGCCUUUUCAAAGUAG